UGGAGUUGUUUGCAUCCACUAACCCGGAAGUUCUAUCCUGGGUCAAGGAAAUAUGGCUGCGCCCUUGACUAGCAUGUCUUGUAUCAGCUAAACAAACAUCUUCUGAUUUUGUCGCCUGGAACACUCGGCAUCUGUUACAGGAAAAUGCAGAAAACAGAGUUUACAGCAUCACUUCUGGCAGGUGGCUCUGCAGGGAUGUGUGUGGACCUGGCACUAUUCCCUCUGGACACCAUUAAAACACGGCUCCAGACUCCCCAGGGGUUUUACAAGGCAGGUGGUUUCCGGGGAAUCUAUGCCGGCGUUCCCUCUGCUGCUGUUGGAUCUUUUCCUAAUGCGGCUGCAUUUUUUGUCACCUAUGAAUAUAUGAAGGCCCUGCUUGGCAGUUCUUCAUCUCCAUACAUGGCACCAGUUAAACACAUGGCAGCGGCAUCCCUCGGAGAAAUAAUAGCAUGUCUUAUACGGGUUCCUACAGAGGUUAUUAAGCAGAGAACACAAGCCUGCCCGUCGUCCAGCACGUACCAAGUUCUUCUUGUCACUCUGAGGGAGGAGGGUUUUCUGGGAUUAUACCGAGGUUAUAAAAGCACAGUAUUCAGAGAGAUUCCCUUCUCUCUUGUGCAGUUUCCACUCUGGGAGUUUUUAAAGGGCCUUUGGUCAUGGAAGCAGGGUCAUGUGCUGUAUUCUUGGCAGUCAGCAGUGUGCGGAGCUUUUGCAGUAUGCAUUCUCAGGUGGAGUUGCAGCUGCAGUCACGACACCCCUGGACGUAGCAAAGACCAGAAUUAUGUUGGCAAAGGCAGGUACCACCACGGCUAGAGGAAACAUUCCCUUUGUGUUGCAAGAGGUCUGGAACGUGAAAGGAUUAUCUGGAUUGUUUGCAGGCAUUGUCCCCAGAGUGGCCUGGAUCAGCCUCGGUGGUUUCAUUUUCUUAGGGGCCUAUGAGAAAGCUCGCAGCUUGCUGUUGUAGCAGAGAGGAACGUCUGGCUGUUGCUGUGAGUGCCAGUGGAGGGGAAUGAAAGAGAAACAGCAGCAAAUAUCCCCCUAGAGCCUCCUUGCCGGUACCUGACAUUCACACUGUGCAUUUUAUAUGGACCAUCACGUAAGCACCUACAGGAGAAACCUCUGGCUUUCCACUUGCCAUUUUUUCCGGUUGGAGUCUAAUUUGAGUGCCACAUUCUGAGUCUUGGGACACAUGGAGCAAAGUUAACAAAGAGGUUGAUGUAAUAUCCAUUUCUCAGUAAUUAACAGUUGUUACUAAAUUGUUUCUUAGUUUUUAAGAUAAAGGAAGAGAGAAAAGCUCUGCGUUUGUUAUAAAGCUGGUAUGCAGAUAGAUGAUUUGUUGAAGAAGUUUGAAGCUGCUUGCACAUUGUCAACUUUCUGUACAAUAGUAAGAAUUUCCUCAACAAACUGUGACAUGAGAAUGGCGUUCCUGUAUCCAGAAUACACAUGUUUUUUUUUUACUUACAAUGUUAAGUUUUGAUAUGGAAGUUGUUUUCAAUCAUACAAGUUUUCCAUUCAGUGACAAAUUCCCUUGAAAUAAUUGCAGUUUAUUAGGGUUGCACAGUAAGAAAAUAGAGGCAAAAGUGGCUCCAAUUUCAAUUCACAGAUGCAGCAGUUAUAUGGAUUGGCCCCAAUUUGAAUUAAAUGAAAACAUUUGACCUGUGAAAAUGGCAUAAGCAGGCAAUUCCACAUUUCCUGGAAUGAUAGACACAGUUAUUAGACCUAUGGAAUAUGCAGAUAAUUGCAAACAGAAAAGCAGUAAAAUGAACACAGAUGAGCAUGAGCUCUGUACUAACAUUGUGUUGUUGCACUAAUUGGAACGUAAUGCUUUCGGAAAACCUUUUUACAUGUCAAUUGAAGCUGACAAAUGGUGGGUUUAAAAUAAUAACUUUAGUUUUAGGAAUCUUAUUAUAAGAAUGUCCUUUUUAAAAAAAAAAUGAGUGUGAGCAAUGAUGCAAAGACACCAUGUCAUAUUAUAAUUGGGUUUUUAAUAAAGACACUUCAGUGUCACGUUAGACACUU